UGGGGAAUUGUUCACAAUGGGCGCAAGCCUGAUGACGCAACGCCGCGUGGGGGAUGAAGGUCUUCGGAUUGUAAACCCCUGUCGAAUGGGACGAAAGACUCGCGAGUUAAUACUUCGCGGGAGUGACGGUACCGUUAAAGGAAGCCACGGCUAACUCUGUGCCAGCAGCCGCGGUAAUACAGAGGUGGCAAGCGUUGUUCGGAAUUACUGGGCGUAAAGGGCGCGUAGGCGGCCUACUAAGUCAGACGUGAAAUCCCUGGGCUCAACCCAGGAACUGCGUCCGAGACUGGGAGGCUUGAAUCCGGGAGAGGGAUGCGGAAUUCCAGGUGUAGCGGUGAAAUGCGUAGAUAUCUGGAGGAACACCGGUGGCGAAGGCGGCAUCCUGGACCGGUAUUGACACUGAGGCGCGAAAGCCAGGGGAGCAAACGGGAUUAGAUACCCACGUAGUCCCUGAGCGGGCUGGCAAGGCGCAU
rnacentral:rRNA from 1 species